UGAUGCAGCCAUGCCGCGUGUGUGAUGAAGGCCUUCGGGAUCGUAACUUCUGUCAGUAGGGAUGAUAAUGACAGUACCUACAGAGGAAACCCCGGCUAACUCCGUGCCAGCAGCCGCGGUAAUACUGAGGGUGCUAGCGUUGUUCGGAAUUACUGGGCGUAAAGCGUAUCUAAGCGGCGAGUUAAGUCGAAUGUUAAAGCCCGGGGCUCAACCCCAUGGAUGCCUUCGAUACUGGCUUGCUAGAGGGCGAUAGAGGAGAGUGGAAUUCCGAGUGUAACGGUGAAAUGCAUAUAUAUUCGGAGGAACAUCAUUGGCGAAGGCGACUUUCUGGGUCACACCUGACGCUGAGGUACUAAAGCGUGGGUAGCAAACAGGAUUAAAUACCCUGGUAGUCCACGCCGUAAACGAUGGAUGCUAGGCGUAGCGGAUAUCAUCCCUUGCUGUGCCGAAUUUAACUCUAUAAUCAUCCCCCCUGGAGAGUACGUUCGCAAGAAUGAAUCUCAAAGAAUUUGAGGG
rnacentral:rRNA from 1 species